CGUGGCAGCGAGCUUCUUCAUGCAAGUCGAGCGAAUGGAUUUCAGAAGCUUGCUCUUUAUGAAGUUAGCGGCGGACGGGUGAGUAACACGUGGGUAACCUGCCCAUAAGACUCGGGAUAACUCCGGGAAACCGGGGCUAAUACCGGAUAACAUUUUGAACCGCAUGGUUCGAAAUUGAAAGGCGGCUUCGGCUGUCACUUAUGGAUGGACCCGCGUCGCAUUAGCUAGUUGGUGAGGUAACGGCUCACCAAGGCAACGAUGCGUAGCCGACCUGAGAGGGUGAUCGGCCACACUGGGACUGAGACACGGCCCAGACUCCUACGGGAGGCAGCAGUAGGGAAUCUUCCGCAAUGGACGAAAGUCUGACGGAGCAACGCCGCGUGAGUGAUGAAGGCUUUCGGGUCGUAAAACUCUGUUGUUAGGGAAGAACAAGUGCUAGUUGAAUAAGCUGGCACCUUGACGGUACCUAACCAGAAAGCCACGGCUAACUACGUGC
rnacentral:rRNA from 1 species